ACAUCCAGAGAACUUAGCAGAGAUGCUUUGGUGCCCUUCGGGAACUCUGAGACAGGUGCUGCAUGGCUGUCGUCAGCUCGUGUUGUGAAAUGUUGGGUUAAGUCCCGNAACGAGCGCAACCCUUAUCCUUUGUUGCCAGCGGUUCGGCCGGGAACUCAAAGGAGACUGCCGGUGAUAAACCGGAGGAAGGUGGGGAUGACGUCAAGUCAUCAUGGCCCUUACGGCCAGGGCUACACACGUGCUACAAUGGCGCAUACAAAGAGAAGCGACCUCGCGAGAGCAAGCGGACCUCAUAAAGUGCGUCGUAGUCCGGAUUGGAGUCUGCAACUCGACUCCAUGAAGUCGGAAUCGCUAGUAAUCGUAGAUCAGAAUGCUACGGUGAAUACGUUCCCGGGCCUUGUACACACCGCCCGUCACACCAUGGGAGUGGGUUGCAAAAGAAGUAGGUAGCUUAACCUUCGGGAGGGCGCUUACCACUUUGUGAUUCAUGACUGGGGUGAAGUCGUAACAAGGUAGGCGUAGCGAG
rnacentral:rRNA from 1 species